GAUCAUGGCUCAGGACGAACGCUGGCGGCGCGCCUAACACAUGCAAGUCGAACGAGCGAGAGAGGGCUUGCUUUCUCAAGCGAGUGGCGAACGGGUGAGUAACGCGUGAGGAACCUGCCUCAAAGAGGGGGACAACAGUUGGAAACGACUGCUAAUACCGCAUAAGCCCACGACCCGGCAUCGGGUAGAGGGAAAAGGAGCAAUCCGCUUUGAGAUGGCCUCGCGUCCGAUUAGCUAGUUGGUG
rnacentral:rRNA from 1 species